rnacentral:rRNA from 1 species
CGCGUUUGCGCAUGAUCAGUACGGCGAGUGAAGCGGCAAGAGCUCAAAUUUGAAAGCUGGCUCCUUCGGGGUCCGCAUUGUAAUUUGCAGAGGAUGCUUCGGGUGCGGCCCCUGUCUAAGUGCCCUGGAACGGGCCGUCAGAGAGGGUGAGAAUCCCGUCUGGGAUGGGGUGUCCGCGCCCGUGUGAAGCUCCUUCGACGAGUCGAGUUGUUUGGGAAUGCAGCUCUAAAUGGGUGGUAAAUUUCAUCUAAAGCUAAAUACUGGCCGGAGACCGAUAGCGCACAAGUAGAGUGAUCGAAAGAUGAAAAGCACUUUGAAAAGAGAGUUAAAAAGCACGUGAAAUUGUUGAAAGGGAAGCGCUUGCGACCAGACUCGCCUCCAGGGUUCAGCCGGCAUUCGUGCCGGUGUACUUCCCUGGGGGCGGGCCAGCGUCGGUUUGGGCGGCCGGUCAAAGGCUCCCGGAAUGUAGUGCCCUUCGGGGCACCUUAUAGCCGGGAGUGCAAUGCGGCCAGCCUGGACCGAGGAACGCGCUUCGGCACGGACGCUGGCAUAAUGGUCGCAAACGACCCGUCUUGAAAACCGGACCAAA